AGUUUGCUUUUAUUAAUCAAGAACUUCCCCAGGUGAAUAUGAGAUGAGAUUCAGACUCCACUUUGUGCCAUGCUACUCUGCUUCCCUAUAAGAAACAGUAAACACCAUGAUUAAAACCAAGGAACUAUGCACAAGAUAUCUUUCAGCUUAUUUUUUAUCUUCAGGUUUCACAAUUAAAAGGUAAAGAGGACUUCCAAACAUUUGUCACUCCAGGAAUAUGAACGUUUCAGAAGUUACAACCCUGGAAGUGAUCAGUUGCUGCCUGUUAACAAACCAUUCCCCCAGUUGCAUACCUGGGAUGAAAAUGAUGGCUGACUUGAUUGGAAUUCACAUGUAAAAUGGAUCCUGAGAUUGUUGCGUUUCUUCUAAGUUUCCAGGUAAUUCCAAAGUUACCAGUCUGUUCUACACAUUGCUACUCAAAGGGUGUGUCGUAGACCAAAAUAAUUGGCAUCAACUGAGACCAUUUUAGAAAUUUACAACUUAGGGCUCCACCCUAGACUAAUUGAAUCAGAAUCUGUACUUCAACAGCAUUCACAAGAAAUUUGCAUGUAUAAAAUUGGCUCAUAACAGACCUCCCUGCCCUAAUACAUCCCAUAAGAUAGAGUAAUAUACUUCAAUUGCAUAAACUAAAUAUUAAAAGUAUUGUUAAAGUGUUGAAAAGACAAUACAUUUAUUCUUAGAGUCCUGCAUAUAUGCAUUGCCUGUUUCGAACACAGGAGAUUUGCCAAUUCUGCCUAUGAUGAAAUACAGCAUUUGCUUAAGGUAAGUUGUGUGCCCCUUGGCCUUAUAUAUCCCUGAUGCCUACAUAUAUGUACUAACUGGCCAUUGAUGUCAUAGGUCAUGCAGAGACAUGAUAUAUAUGUUCUCUUUUUAGAAACUAACAUAUUAGUUUAGUUAGAAACUAACAAAUUAACUGCU
rnacentral:lncRNA from 1 species